CCCCUGCUAUAUCUGGCCCUGACAGGACUAAGAGGCCUUGGUCUCACUGGCCGAUGCCUCAGAUUCUGAGUCAGGGCAGUACAGUGUCUUCAGGCCAUGAUCGUUUCAAAUGAUAUUUCUCCUGAGUUUUGAAAGAAGCCUCUUUUCCCUGAAUCAGGGCCCCAGCUCUCUCACUUCUGACAGGGAAAAGAAAAGGCACAGAAGACCACUGGAAAAGAUUCCAUCCUCCUCACCUUAUUACCGCCACCAGCAUGUGCUGCCACAACAAGAUUAAAAUGAUUGCACCAUCA